CGGUUAAACUAGAGGGCCUAGUUAUAUUGUUAAGGUAAAAAGGCGGUUAGAUAGGAUGUAUUAAGUAGUGGCUUAUAUAAAUUACUAUAGAAAAGUGAAAUUUUAAUAUAGAUAAAUAAAUCAAGGAUGGCCAUAAUAUAUUGAGUCCGCGAUAGCUUUGAGGGAAACUGGGAUUUGAUACCCCAUUAUUCUUAGCUGUAAAUAAACAUUAAGUUUACCGGAGUACUAUGAAUAUUAAAAUUUAAAACUCAAAGAGCUUGGCGGUGUUUUAGACCACUUAGGGGAACCUGUCUCGUAAUCGAUAAUCCACGGCAUACCUUACCUUUUAUAGAAAUCAGCUUGUACACCGUUGUCAUCAGGUAACUUUUUAGAGUAUUUAAGUUAGCAAUGAAAUUUAUAAUAAAUUUUAAUGUCAAAUCAAGGUGCAGCCAAUGAAAAGGGGAGGAUGGGUUACAAUUAAAAUUUAUAAAAUGGAUUAGGUAGUGAAAUUUAUUUGUGAAGGAGGACUUAAAAGUAAGAUUAUAUAUAAAAAUAGUCUGAAUUGGGCUCUGAAAUGUGUACUAACCCCCC
rnacentral:rRNA from 1 species